rnacentral:rRNA from 1 species
UUGAAAACUAGAAUGAAUGGUUUAAUUAACUAAAAUUAGUUUGUUUUUUUAAUAGUAAAUUAUAUAUAAAGUAAGAAUACUUUUAUAAAUUAAGGGACGAUAAGACCCUAAAAGCUUUAUAAUUAAAAAUUUAUUAGUGUUAUUUAUAAUAAAUAUUAAUUUGCUGGGGCAGUAGUUUUAAAUAAAUUUUAAUUUUAUUUAAAGAUCCUUUAAAUAAAGAUUAUUUGGGUAAGUUACUUUAGGGAUAACAGUGCAAUAUAUUUGGGGAGACCUUAUCUAUAAAUAUGCUUGCAACCUCGAUGUUGAAUUAGAAAUUCUACAUGGGUAGAAUAUAUGCCAGAAAGUUUGUUCAACUUUUAAAUUUCUACAUGAUCUGAGUUCAAACCGG